rnacentral:rRNA from 1 species
UGGGGAAUAUUGGACAAUGGGCGCAAGCCUGAUCCAGCAAUGCCGCGUGUGUGAAGAAGGCCUGCGGGUUGUAAAGCACUUUCAGUGGGGAGGAAGGCCUCGGCGUUAAUAUCGUCGAGGAUUGACGUUACCUACAGAAGAAGCACCGGCUAACUCUGUGCCAGCAGCCGCGGUAAUACAGAGGGUGCAAGCGUUAAUCGGAAUUACUGGGCGUAAAGGGCGCGUAGGUGGUUAAUUAAGUCAGAUGUGAAAUCCCCGGGCUUAACCUGGGAAUUGCAUUUGAAACUACAAGACUAGAGUGCAGCAGAGGGGAGUGGAAUUCCAUGUGUAGCAGUGAAAUGCGUAGAGAUGUGGAAGAACACCGAUGGCGAAGGCAGCUCCCUGGGUUGACACUGACGCUCAUGCACGAAAGCGUGGGGAGCAAAC